rnacentral:rRNA from 1 species
GACGAACGCUGGCGGCGUGCUUAACACAUGCAAGUCGAACGAAGUGGCGCACGGGUGAGUAACGCGUAAUCAACCUGCCCUUCAGAGGGGGACAACCGUUGGAAACGACUGCUAAUACCGCAUACUGAAGGAGGGUAUUGCGUUUGAUUAGGUAGUUGGAGGGGUAACGGGCCAUCAAGGCGAUGAUCAGUAGCCGGCCUGGAAGGAUGAACUGCCACAUUGUGACGUGGAACAGGCCCAGACGCCUACGGGAGGCAACAGUGGGGAAUCGUCCGCAAUGGACGAAAGUCUGACGGAGCAAAGCCGGGGGAGUGAUGACGGCCUUCGGGUUGUAAAGCUCUGUUAAGCGGGACGCGGUACCGGAAUAGAAAGCCACGGCUAACUACGUGCCAGCAGCCGCGGUAAUUC